GGUAUGGGAUGAGCUUGCGUCCGAUUAGCUAGUUGGCGGGGCAACGGCCCACCAAGGCGACGAUCGGUAGCCGGCCUGAGAGGGUGAUCGGCCACAUUGGGACUGAGAUACGGCCCAGACUCCUACGGGAGGCAGCAGUAGGGAAUAUUGCACAAUGGGGGAAACCCUGAUGCAGCAACGCCACGUGUGGGAAGAAGCAUUUCGGUGUGUAAACCACUGUCAUGAGGGAAUAAGGCCCGCCUCCGGGCGGGAUUGAAUGUACCUUGAGAGGAAGCACCGGCGAACUUCGUGCCAGCAGCCGCGGUAAUACGAGGGGUGCAAGCGUUGUUCGGAAUUACUGGGCGUAAAGGGAGCGUAGGCGGAGAUUCAAGCGGAUUGUACAAUCCCGGGGCCCAACCCCGGCUCUGCAGUCCGAACUGGAUCUCUUGGAUAGUUCAGGGGCAGGC
rnacentral:rRNA from 1 species